AGUAUGUACUGACAUGUUGUCCAUCCAAUCACAGAAUUAGGAUCAGAGAACGAACCGAGUGAGUUGUAUUGGGAUUGUGCCACAGAGCAUUAUGGAGGUUCUAUGUGUUGGGAGGCUUGGUGACAUUGUUGAAUAGAGAUUAUGAGUGAAGAGUGAUAGUUCAGCAUUUUUUGGAUAUUAUUCAAUUCAAAUGACUUUUUUCAAAUUACAGGAGACGGAGGAGGUAUAUUAUAAAUUGUUUUCUUGGUUUUAGAACUUUAUUUUUGCGUUCAGUUAGUGCAAUUUACUUACAUUUGCUUUACAAAACUUCAGUAGCUAGCUUACUACCAGCACGAGUGUGCAGUUUUCUCCGGCAGAAUGGUAGAAUGGCCUUUCUGUGUAGGAACUCCUUUCAUUCUCUGGGGUACAGGGAAAAGUUGUGAAUUAAAAGCAAGGGUCGACCUCUGCCUGAGAACAGUUUCAUGAAGGCAGAUGAAAAAGGUGGGGGCGUUCAAUACUAACUUGAACCAAAAGUAUAUCUGGUUAACAGGGAGCCUUUCAUCAGGCCGCCUGUAUUGCUGGCCUUAUCUGCUUUUUGGAAAGUCUGGGCUUUGGUCGAAAGGUAGGUUCAGUGACCUGAAGAACAUUGAUCGUUCAGCUAAACAAAAAAACAAAAGCAGGGCAUGUAAGAAUUUGCUUUUAGGAAGACACGACGAGAGGGAAAGUUACGCCAACAAGGGCAGCUACAGAGCUUGAAGAGGUAACUGAACGUUAUGAAGCUUUCCUUGCUGAACAUAUGGAACUUGACUGUUUUUUCUGGGAUGUUGAAAACAAUUCCAAAUGAUUUGAUAGCUUCCAUCGCAUCAUCCAUUAAAAGUUAUAUUAAAGAAAGGUUGACGCAGCGCAGUUUUUCACAAGCACUCAGCUAAGUCCCCUCCUGUUCCCUGAUUAAGAGGUGAUGACUACUCCACUCCACUCCACUCCACUACCAUUGUCAACUUUCUCCUGGCAUGAACUGAAACCACGUCUCAUGUGCCCGCUCAUCCACUGGCACAUUGAAUGUUUCCCCUCAAAGCACUAUUGUCUUCCCAGUCAAAUCCUGUCCUGCACUGGUCAAGCCUCUGAACACCUCAAUUUAUGCCUCAUACCCUCAUUCAGUCACUGCUGUGAUCCCUUUCCAACACUGUGUAGUACACAGAGAUGAUGAUGAUCCCCAGAGGGAGGGGAGGGAGGUUGUUGAGGAAGAACCAGUGGCCCAGCUCAAGAAGGAGCCCAAGAAGACAGGAAAGGCAAUGGCAAGUGAUCUAUAAAGGAUUUUAAAAACCUAUGACAAAAGAACAGCUUGCAAAAUUGUGCAAGACCAUUGUCAACUUCAUUGCACAGACCACCCUGCAGAUCCUGCUGCCGGCCCUGGCCCGCAUUCUAGGGGUGACAGGCUUUUAUGACAACGCUGACUCACUCAAGAGGGGCUGCAGUGCAAGAUCCUUCACUGCCUUUGAGCAGAAAAGACUGGAGCUCAUCCAGGAAGUUAAAUAUUUGGCGAAUGAGAUGUGUAACUGUGGCGGCAGGGCUCUCUGACCAAGGUCUAGCACACCCUCUUCCAAGAGGUACUGUAUGUUCCCCAUAAUGUGUGCGUGUGUGUGUGCAGCUAAUCCUAACCCUCAAACUGAUGAACAAUAAUUUCUCCAUUUAAAUAUUUUCAAGCUUUCUAAAAGGUGUGUUUUGCAAUAUCUAAUGCACACAUAAAAAUUACAUUUAGAAUACUCAAUUAUAAUGCUUGUUAGAUUUGUUAGCAGUAAGAUAUCGAUUUUCCAACUUCAGACAGCAAUUAACAUACUUUGCUUGUUCAUUUUAAAGUUCCCAGACCUCACUGAAAGUCCACCUGGGAAUGCCAGAGGACAGUAUCAUCAACAGUGUCCAGGAGCAACUCUCUGACCAUGAGAUUUUGGCCUCUUGCCCACCUGAGCUGACCGUUGGUCUUAUCAAGGAGGUGCUUGAACAGCUCAACUUGGCCCUCUCUUUGACCAGCAGUAGAACCAUUUCAGGGUGGUCGUCCCUCAUUGCCUCUGGUACUCAGGCCACUGAACAGAUGAUUAACAUGGUCCAGAAGUUUCCUAUGAUCACACUGCUCCAGAAGACCAGUUAGAUGUUGAUUCCUACAUUCCAUUCUCAACAGAAGAGGUGAUCACUGUUAUUGCAGACAUGGUGGAUGAAAUGAAAGGAGAAGAUGCAGACUCGGUUAAGCUGCUUCAAGAAGUGGCUGUGAAAGUUAAAAUGUUGGCAUCUGGCAGUGACCUUGCAGUGGAGCAACUGGACGAUGAAGACUCUUCUUUCCCAAAGGAGCUGAACUCGUGUAUAUCUUGCAAGGCAUUGGUGAAAAACCUUGACAUUCUGUCAAGUGACAAGUUCAAGACAAAAGCCUCAAAGGCUGUGAGUGAGAUUCUAGUCAGAUGGUUCCCCAGGGGAACCUCUGGUUUGGUUGAACAUUCCCAUUCAUUUACUGCCACUCCCAGCUUGAUGAAUGCGUCUCACCCUGACACAAUCCAUCAUUCCGUGGCCACUGGGCUCAUACAGACCAAUAUGGAUUCGGAGGCACCAAAUAUAAUUGAUAGCUUUGUUGAAGAUGUCAAAGGCAUUGUGAAGCAAGCUGAAUUAGAUAAGCCAACAAGCACCCAGAGAGAUCCGCAAGUGGGACACUGUAUGCCAAAGCAGAAACCCUUUCACACGUCUCGUAGACUCUGCAACAGGCUCCAGGCAAAGAUAAAAUAAUUAUUUCACAGAACGGGUGGAGCUGCAUUCCAAAGGGAACAACUUCUGGAGCACACUGACUCCAGUGUUUUGCCUGGUUCAACCCUGAACUCAUCUUCAGCAAGUAGGAGUGAAUCACCCAUAGCAGAAUGCAGUUCAUCUGCUGUUCCUAGUGGACGUGAUUAAUCUGGCUCUGUAGAAGAGAAACCAUUUGAGACCAGAGCAGAUUGUACUCAUGGUCAGAACUCUCCUCUACUCAGUAAGAGUGAGGCCAUACUGCAAGAGGUCAACACAACUGGACGUGGUGCUCUCCGCAAAUGCCAGAGUGAGAACUCCCAACCUUUACUGGUUCUCUGUGAUCCAAACCUGGAGCCCUGCACCAAAGAGGUCUUAUCUCAGAUUGUGACUGUGUAUAGGUCCGAGAUGGCAGAUUUGGAAUCAACGUCCAGUGUUGUAGAGAAUUCCUCUUACAACUCCUUUGAAGUCUGUGACUUUUUGGAUGGUAUCAUGUCUUACCUAGAAGACCUGCCCGUGUCCAGUUCCUCAUCAUUGGAAGGAGUAAGUGUUACUCCAGCCUCAGUCAUUGAGCAGCUUUCGAGUGAAGUGUUUCAGAAGAAGGCAACCAACAAAGUCAGAAAAAUACUGAUCAAAUCUGUCAAUCUCUUCCCCAGCGAAGUCGGUUCAAGCCAGACAGAUUCUCAUAUGUCGCCAGCAUUAUCCACCAUUUCCUCAAAGCAUACAGAUUCAGUUGCUAUUGAAAUUAUUGGAUCAAUUGCAAAUGAUCUGAAGAGCAUUUUCCUGCUCACAGAGUCUCCUACUACUCUAUGGCAGGCAGACUCUAUGCUUCAACUGAGUGAUGAGAAACCCUCAGAAGCCACGAAUGCUGCAGCUGUAAGCCCCCAGACUGGUGUGGAAGUAUCUGAGAAGAAAAUCUGGAUAACUGCAAAGACUAUUUACCACAAUGUGAAGGCAAAGAUGAGGAAUUAUUUCUCAUUGCAAAGACAAGCCAAAGCAACGAAGGCUCAAGCCAAAAGACCCUCAGCCAUAUUCUGGUUUCCAUUCAGAAAGAACUGUCAAAAUCUGACCAAAUGGUGGCUGCAGGACAGCUUUCACAAAUAGAUAAAGUGGUUGGAACUAUGCUGGAGAACAUUGAGAAGAUAAGCAGCGAAUGUGGCGAGGAAUUGGUCUAUCAAGAGUCACUGGGGUCUUCCUCCUCGUUGUCAUUCUCAACUGCCAAAUCACAGAAGACAGAGUGGGAAUUUGCACUCCCUGGCACUCCAAUUCCUUCUGAGUUACCUGAGAGUCCUGCUCAGCCCAUUGUAAGAUGCUCAGUCAUUGACAUGAGCGAAUCUACUAAGCCAAAAACAAUGGUGUGUGAUGCAAGAACAAGAAUGUUUGCCAUAGCCGAUACAAUCAUGAAGAAGGAAUAUCCAGAGGCAGAAGGGCAGGUUACAUCUCACUCUGAUCUAACAGAUGCAAUAGCUAGACUGGAGGAGCUCAUAUCUCAGGGUAGGAUUGGUGCUCUCUCCCGUGAUCUCAGUCACCAAGUCAACCGCAUAAUUUCUGAUAGCAACUUGACCCCUCUGGGACUGACAGUGGCGGCUGGAAAGAGUGCAUCUGAUACCAUCCUUUCGAAGCUGAAGAGGAAUGACAAGGUGGGGAAGCCCAUAACUUACGAGCUGGUUCAGCUGUUUGUAGAGGAGUCUGUUAAGUGCCUCCUGCUUCCUAGUUUUGUGCCCUAUUCAACUUCAAUGACUUUGGUUCAGGGGGCCUAGGUGUUGGCUAGAGUGUCUGAAGAUAGAAUUUCAUGCUCUUCUUCUUCAUCAAUAUUUAGUGACACAGUCAGUCUCUUUACCAAAGUUAUGGUAAGCCAGGUCAUGUACUCUGUGGAUUCUGAUGCAGAAAGUAGAGGAUCCUCUCCAACUGAAUCUCUCCAAACAUCUGAAACCACUAUAUCUGAGGUAGGCAAUCUAUUGAGUGGCAAGUCCUCCCCUCGGCUGUCUCCUUCUGGCGUCAUUAUGGCAACAAGCGAGACCUCCAAUUCAGCACAAAUCUUAAAGGCCAACAUUGAUGGAGAGGAAGUGGAUACCACCAGUCAUUCUGGUGUAGCUCAAAACAUUGUCAGGGACGAUAUGUCAACCAGCCCAGACAUGGUCAAAGAUGUCCCACUUCCAACCCCAUCCUCUGAUAACUUGGGCAGUGAUGAUGACUUCACCGGCCUCAUCAGCAUGUUAGUAAUGAGAAUUCUAACAAAAAUCGAAUCCCUAUCCAGCCUAUCCAGAGAACUUGAGGAUUCAUAAAGUCUACAGAGCCGUCUAUAAAAAUAUGUUGGGGGAGUUUGACUCUGAGAAAAUCCUCCAACAGGCCGUGUCGACUCAGGACUCUUCAUUUGAUAGGAUUCUUGUCAAGUCUUUGAGUGAAGCGCUUCUCCACAGAUGUAAUGAGGCAUUGAGGGCAGCCUCAAGAACAUCAGUCAAAACCACCGGGCCUAAGGCUCUUCCACUGGCUGAGGAUGUGAGGGCUAGCAGCGGGAAAUGAUCUUUUCUACAAAGGCUGGUCAGGCUGACAGGCAACUUAAAGGUACAGCAAACGUAUUUAAAUGAACAGUUGUGGGAGAUAAUGUGAGUAAACAAUGCUAUUCAGUGUAAAAAAUAUAAAACCAUCCAUUCAUUCCAAAACCAAUCAUAAAUGUUGUUGUGCUGGUGUGGUAGGUGUGAUUGUUAUCAUCAUGAGGUUGUUCAGCUGUGACAUUUCUUUAAACAUGUUUUUCUCUUUAAAUACUUAGCUAUUCAAGAAGAGGAACAAGAAGGAUUCCCACCGCUCUGAGUCAGAACAAGUACAGACCACUGCUGAAGAUGGCAUGCUGCCCAGCAUAGUGCCACAUGCUGCCAUGUCUGCACUGCCAAAGGAUCUCCCCGCCAGCUCCCAACAGGAGACGCCUCACAAACGUCCACUUCUCGUCAGGAUGUUUUCUGCCAUCUCCAAAGGCCUGUUCAAGCCCUUCAAACAGUCCUUAAAGACCAAGUAACUUAAGACAAUUUAUUAAACGUCAUUCAUUGC